rnacentral:rRNA from 1 species
UACGGAAGGCAGCAGUGGGGAAUAUUGCACAAUGGGCGAAAGCCUGAUGCAGCUAUGCCGCGUGUAUGAAGAAGGCCUUAGGGUUGUAAAGCACUUUCAUCGGGGAGGAAAAACAAAACUAAUAAUUUUAUUUCUUGACGUUACCCGAAAAAGAAGCACCGGCUAACUCCGUGCCAGCAGCCGCGGUAAUACGGAGGGUGCUAGCGUUAAUCAGAAUUACUGGGCGUAAAGAGCACGUAGGUGGUUUUUUUAAGUCAGAUGUGAAAUCCCUGGGCUUAACCUAGGAACUGCAUUUUGAAACUGAAAUACUAGAGUAUCGUAGAGGGAGGUAGAAUUCUAGGUGUAGCGGUGAAAUGCGUAGAUAUCUGGAGGAAUACCUGUGGCGAAAGCGGCCUCCUAAACGAAUACUGACACUGAGGUGCGAAAGCGUGGGGAGCAAACAGGGAUUAGAUA